AAGCGGAGGAAAAGAAACCAACAGGGAUUGCCUCAGUAACGGCGAGUGAAGCGGCAAAAGCUCAAAUUUUAAAGCUGGCAUCUUCGGUGCCCGCGUUGUAAUUUUGUGAGGCAUCUCCGGGUAGGGCGCCGGCCUAAGUUCCUUGGAACAGGACGUCACAGAGGGUGAGAAUCCCGUGCUUGGCUGGCUGUCCCCGCCCACGUGAGGUGUCUUCGACGAGUCGAGUUGUUUGGGAAUGCAGCUCAAAAUGGGUGGUAAAUUUCAUCUAAAGCUAAAUAUUGGUGGGAGACCGAUAGCGCACAAGUAGAGUGAUCGAAAGAUGAAAAGCACUUUGAAAAUAGAGUUAAAAAGUACGUGAAAUUGUUGAAAGGGAAGCGCUUGAGACCAGACUUCGGUAGGGGGUGAUCAGCCGUCCUUCUGGGCGGUGCACUUGCCCCCCUCCGGGCCAGCAUCGGUUGAGGCGGCGGGAUAAAGGUCCCGGGAAUGUGGCUCCCUCACGGGAGUGUUAUAGCCCGGGUGAAUGCCGCCAGCCUCGACCGAGGACCGCGCCCGCAAGGGCUAGGAUGCUUGGCGUAAUGGUCUUCAGCGACCCGUCUUG
rnacentral:rRNA from 1 species